GGUGUGACUUCACAGGGCUGGCUCCCCUCCCUGUCAAGGCCCUGAUUGGGCCGGACAGGAGGCGCAGGAGAGGCCCGGGUUCCCUAAAGGACACCAACAGGUGGGAAGCCACAUUGGAGGGGGGCUGCUCCUGGUGGGUAUAGAAAAGGCCGGUCUGCAUGGCCUGCCGUGGGCACAAUCCACCGGGCCAGAUACUGAGGAGAGCGGAUGAUCGUAAAGAGAGCUGAAAUGAAAAGAUGAGUUGAGUGCAUAGAUGGCAAAGAGAAGCUGCAGGGACUUGAACUAAGGUAACACUGACGAGGACCUCCUGUUCUCUCUUCUCGUCCCCUCUCUCCCUCCCUCUGUGUCUUUGACCCCUGCCUCUCUCUUACUCUGCCUCUUGCAGCCGAAGCAACACGCCUUGCUGUGGCUGGUCAAACGGAACCAAGUCAGGUGUUUCAGUGAGGUUUGGUCCCCUUCAACCAGCUACUGCGUCGUGAAUUCUGUCGACAGGGAAUCAGAGAUGCGGUUCUACUUAUUCUGGAAGUGGUAGUCUGACAAAAUGUAAAGAUUAUAUAUUACAGGCUACUCAAAGGUUGACUUUUUUCUUGAUUUUGGUUAUAUAAGUAUAGCUGUUUGUGCCUAAAAACAAAUAAAGGAUCACUAGCACUGUGCAGUUCUGAUGUUUACGUCUUUUCUUUUUCUGUUCAUAUUUAAAAAAAGCUAAUUUAAAAUAGAAAAUAUCCUUUACAACCUGAUAUCUGCUUUAAAAAUAAACUAAUUGCUACGGCAGGAAGUCUUUAUUAUUGGUCAAACAAUUAAUCAAUGUAAAGAUGAAAAUUGUUGGAAAUUAUUGCAAUUUAAAAAUAGCAGAACAAGAUAGAAAUCAGUCCCAUGGAGAGCACCUAUCCUGUGUGCUUAUAAAAUGUAUCAAGCCAAUCAGACUUUUUUGUCUCUAUUGAAAUAAACUGUCUAACAUUUGUGAAACUCUAGGGGUAAAUUGAAAUAAAUGUAAAACUUGA